AUACGUAGGGGGCGAGCGUUAAUCGGAAUUACUGGGCGUAAAGCGCGCGCAGGCGGUUUUUUAAGACAGAUGUGAAAUCCCCGGGCUCAACCCGGGAACUGCCUUUGAAACUGGAAGGCUAGAGUGGGGCAGAGGGGGGUGGGAUUCCACGUGUAGCAGUGAAAUGCGUAGAGAUGUGGAGGAAUACCGAUGGCGAAGGCAGCCCCCUGGGCCAAUACUGACGCUCAUGCACGAAAGCGUGGGGAGCAAACAGGAUUAGAUACCCUGGUAGUCCACGCCCUAAACGAUGUCAACUAGGUGUUGGAAGGGUUAAACCUUUUAGUGCCGUAGCUAACGCGUGAAGUUGACCGCCUGGGGAGUACGGCCGCAAGGCUAAAACUCAAAUGAAUUGGCGGGG
rnacentral:rRNA from 1 species